AGAGUUUGAUCCUGGCUCAGAACGAACGCUGGCGGCGCGUCUUAAGCAUGCAAGUCGAACGGCAAGAUUGGUGCUUGCACCGAUCCUAGAGUGGCGGACUGGUGAGUAACGCGUGGGUGACGUACCCUUCAGUUGGGGAUAGCUACUAGAAAUAGUAGAUAAUACCGAAUACGAUUCCUAUUGUUAGAGGGUAGGAAUGAAAGGAGCUAAGGCUUUGCUGAAGGAACGGCCCGCGUACCAUUAGCUAGUUGGUGUGGUAACGGCAUACCAAGGCGAUGAUGGUUACCCGGCCUAAGAGGGUGAUCGGGCACAUUGGGACUGAGAUACGGCCCAGACUCCUACGGGAGGCAGCAGCUAAGAAUAUUCCGCAAUGGACGAAAGUCUGACGGAGCGACGCCGCGUGGAUGAAGAAGGCCGGAAGGUUGUAAAAUCCUUUUAAGUAUGAGGAAUAAGUAGUGUAGGGAAUGACACUAUGGUGACUGUAGUACUUGAAUAAGCAACGGCUAAUUACGUGCCAGCAGCCGCGGUAACACGUAAGUUGCGAGCGUUGUUCGGAAUUAUUGGGCGUAAAGGGCAUGUAGGCGGUUAUGCAAGCUUGGUGUGAAAGGCAGGAGCUUAACUCCUGGACUGCGUUGAGAACUGCAUAACUAGAGUCACUGAGGGGCAGGCAGAAUUCCAGGUGUAGGGGUGAAAUCUGUAGAUAUCUGGAAGAAUACCAAUGGCGAAGGCAGCCUACCAGCAGAUGACUGACGCUGAGGUGCGAAGGUGUGGGGAGCAAACAGGAUUAGAUACCCUGGUAGUCCACACAGUCAACUAUGUACACUGGAUGUCUG
rnacentral:rRNA from 1 species